rnacentral:rRNA from 1 species
UACGAAGGGGGGCUAGCGUUGCUCGGAAUCACUGGGCGUAAAGCGCACGUAGGCGGAUUGUUAAGUCAGGGGUGAAAUCCUGGAGCUCAACUCCAGAACUGCCUUUGAUACUGGCGAUCUUGAGUCCGGGAGAGGUGAGUGGAACUGCGAGUGUAGAGGUGAAAUUCGUAGAUAUUCGGAAGAACACCAGUGGCGAAGGCGGCUCACUGGCCCGUUACCGACGCUCAGGCGCGACAGCGUGGGGAGCAAACAGG